rnacentral:rRNA from 2 species
GCAUUAUACGGCGAAACUGCGAAUGGCUCAUUAUAUAAGUUAUCGUUUAUUUGAUAGCACAUUACUACUUGGAUAACCGUGGUAAUUCUAGAGCUAAUACAUGCUAAAAAUCCCGACUUCGGAAGGGAUGUAUUUAUUAGAUUAAAAACCAAUGCCCUCUGGGCUCUCUGGUGAAUCAUGAUAACUGCUCGAAUCGCAGGGCCUCGUGCCGGCGAUGGUUCAUUCAAAUUUCUUCCCUAUCAACUUUCGAUGUUUGGGUAUUGGCCAAACAUGGUUACAACGGGUAACGGAGGGUUAGGGCUCGACCCCGGAGAAGGAGCCUGAGAGACGGCUACUACAUCCAAGGAAGGCAGCAGGCGCGCAAAUUACCCAAUCCCGACACGGGGAGGUAGUGACAAUAAAUACUGAUACAGGGCUCUUUCGGGUCUUGUAAUUGGAAUGAGUACAAUUUAAAUCCCUUAACGAGGAACAAUUGGAGGGCAAGUCUGGUGCCAGCAGCCGCGGUAAUUCCAGCUCCAAUAGCGUAUAUUAAAGUUGUUGUGGUUAAAAAGCUCGUAGUUGAACCUUGGGCCUGGCUGGCCGGUCCGCCUCACCGCGUGUACUGGUCCGGCCGGGCCUUUCCCUCUGUGGAACCCCAUGCCCUUCACUGGGCGUGGCGGGGAAACAGGACUUUUACUUUGAAAAAAUUAGAGUGCUCCAGGCAGGCCUAUGCUCGAAUACAUUAGCAUGGAAUAAUAGAAUAGGACGUGCGGUUCUAUUUUGUUGGUUUCUAGGACCGCCGUAAUGAUUAAUAGGGACAGUCGGGGGCAUCAGUAUUCAAUUGUCAGAGGUGAAAUUCUUGGAUCUAUUGAAGACUAACUACUGCGAAAGCAUUUGCCAAGGAUGUUUUCAUUAAUCAGGAACGAAAGUUAGGGGAUCGAAGACGAUCAGAUACCGUCGUAGUCUUAACCAUAAACUAUGCCGACUAG